rnacentral:lncRNA from 1 species
AUCAUGAUAAGAUAUAUAAACACACUUCAGAUGUAUUUUAUUAAAAGAACACACAACACGAGAAUACACGAAUAAAUAGGCUUGAGCAGUGACAACUCCACCAUCUAUUAUUUAUUCACAGAUACGUAAAUUACAAACAAAGUGAUAAAGCGAGAUGUUUUGCACGUAUAUUUGGUUGGUUAAUGUUGAUUAAAUUUUCAUGGCUGUCCGUAGCAGCUGCAGUGUUCUUCCGUUCCUCCAAACUUUGAUAAACAACAUUCACAAUUGGUUUCAGUACAUGGCGAUGGCAAAUCACAUUCACCUAAGAAUGUAUGACAUGCAUUGCUCUUCGGGAUUCCUACAUGUUGAUGUAGCCAUCAAGUUCAACAUCAGCACAACCUAAAUGUGUUGAAUCACUCUUUUGUUUAUAUCUGCUAAACUAAAUAAUAUGACAUAUAUGAUAUACUAAAACUUCAAAACUAGUAGUUUAUGAAUUAUUAUUAUUAUUAUUAUUAUUAUUAUUAUUAUUAUUAUUAUUAUUAUUAUUAUUAUUAUAUAAUUAUAUUAGAUAAUUUUGCAAAAGGUAUGUAAAAUCAAGUCUUUAAUAAAUACCAUUGGAAAGUGGAAACAACCAAGAAAACAAGUAAAACGUUGUGGUCAAGCAAUGCUAAGAGCAUCUCCAAAAGACAUUCUAUAAUUUUAAAUAUGAAGUUUUUUGCAUUCCAAAAAAGAAUUUCAAAACUUCAAAUUUGAAGUUUUGAGAAGGGAAACUCUAUAUUUAAAGUUUCACAACUCAAAACUUUAAAUUUAAAGUUUCAUAUUUUGUUUACUUUGGUCCAUACAUUUAAAUAUCACAUUUAUAUUUUUUAAAUAUUUUCUCAUUUAUCAUUUUAAACCUUAAAAAUUUCAUAUCUCAUAAAAAUUUCAAAACUUUUGUAUAAAUUUAAGUUAUACACAUGAAAUUAAGUAAAACUUUAAAAUAAGAUUUAAAAUAUUUUAAAACUAGAUUUAGACAACAAAAAUACAAAACAAACUUAACAACAAAAAAAACUUUAAAAAAUUACAUGAAGACACUACUAUUACACAAAUUUAAAAAUUACAACAAUACUAAUAGUCAUGUAAAUUUGAUUUGGAACCUCUAAAAUCUCCGAAAUAUUGUUCAAAUAAAUUUGGUUAUUUUUGCAAUAUCUUCUCUUGCUUAAUUAUUUGCUCAAGAAAAAAAAAAUCUUCUCUUGCUUUAUUUUUCUUUUGCUUUAAGCUUUGAUUGUUUGUUGUGGAAACUGGAUUGAAGUUUGCGGUCUAUUUAGUGAAAUUUUAUAAUCUUGUAAUUAUUAAUUCAUUUAGUUUAUUUGUAUUGUUGUUUAUAAUGUCGCCACAAUGAUCACCCUUUAAAUAUUUAGGUCAGUCAAUGGAUGCAUAAAUUUGCCAUGUUAUUGUGAUUCAUAAUCAUACAUAUUUUAUAUGCCCUUAAUUUGUUUAACAUGGAAUAGGACGUUAAGCUUAUACUAUUUGAGAACAGAAUAGAAUCGAGACAUGUUUUAGAUUAAAAUUUGAAACUUAAUACUAUUUUACUAUACAAGAAAAUCCCUGCUAUCCAAAUUUGAAUCUGAAAUUUUCUUUUAGAGGAAAACAGUUACGGAAUGGUCUAAGUCUCUAAGACAUCUUGGCUAAUUAUGUUAUUGAAGGUGCAUGAAAAAAUCAGCAUGAUAUCAAAGGGGUGUUUGGAAUGAAUUUAACUUUACUUUUUACUGUAGAAUUUAAAUUAUAGGUUUAUUGGAUGUAGUUUUUUUUGCUAUUAUUUUGUAAAGCAUUGUUUUUUGUUUCUACAUCCACUUUUUAAUUUUUAGAGACUUUUUGUCUGUAUAUUUUUGUAAAAAAGUUUGAUUGAUUGUUUAGAUCAUCUACUGUUACAGCCGAUCAGGAUCUCUAGAUUUGAAUACUCUCGGGUUAAUUCAUCACUUACUGAAAACAAUUGUGAAUUUAGAAUCCGAUGUUGUUUAUCUUGUUGUACCUUUAUGGUUUCUCCCCUGGGAUAUAUUAACUCUUUCAAUUGGUUUUUGAAUCGUUCAUGACUUUAAUAAUAAACAUUCAGAUGCUAAAAAAUAUAUAAAAGCAGCAUGCUAUAUCUUUUUGGAUAUGGUCGGUUGAAAUUUAAAAUGCAAUACUAACAAUCCAUGUCGAAACCUAGAUACCUUUACAUUAAGUAUAAAGACAUCAAUAAAACUCGAAAAAAGAAAAUGCAAUUAGGUUUACAAUCUCUAAUCGACAUAUUUGUUUUACUAAGGAAUCAAAGAAAGAUCUUCUUACUGGAUCACAAGAGAUUGAGAAAGAAGAACCAACUACAUGUCAAAACCUAGAUAUUCCAAAAGUGAUUAAUUUAAUCAACAACAUUGCAUAACCAUUGUUUGUUUCUCUAUUGAGUGCAACCCUAAAAUUCUAUUUAUAUCAUCAAAAUAUCUUAAAAAAAUAGAUAAAAGUCAAAAAAUAUAUUUAAUUAUUUAAUUUUCUUCUCUCUGCACUAUUUAUGUAUUAUUGUUGACAUUAUUGUAGGAUUUGGUUUUAUCGCUUGUACCAAUCUGAUUAUAAAAAUAAAAACAUGCAUGAACUGUUCGUGAAAGGAAAUAUUGUAUAAGUUUUUUAUUUUUUUGUAUUUCGUCUCUCCUUUGUUACUACUAAUAAAAAUAUCGUUUAUUGUUUAACAAUGUUGAUUGAAACUAACAGAAUACAAGAGACUAUUGUUGUAAUAGAUGUGAUUAUCAUCAUUUAGACUUUGCAAACUAUGACAAACAAUUAUCAUGUGCCUUUUUUGCAGCUCUUAAUGUUAUAAGUCUAUCUAUAUACAAUUAGACUCUCAAUCUCCACAUAUAUAUGGUUAAAUGUUGAUAGAAAACUUACACUGACUAAUCUUCGGUUUCGAAUCAAAAUCCUAAUACAGAUCCUAUAUUUACGGAAAGAGAAAUCUUCGAUUUAGGAAUUUACCUCUCGAAUUUCCAGAUUCCGCUAUUCUUCUCUCGAGAGAUUUAGGGAUUUUGAUUCUCUUUUGUUUUUUUUUUACUUUUACGGUUGUGAUGUGAUG